CACGUAGGGGGCAAGCGUUGUCCGGAUUUAUUGGGCGUAAAGAGCUCGUAGGUGGUUCGGUAAGUCGGGUGUGAAACCUCCAGGCUCAACCUGGAGACGCCACCCGAUACUGCUGUGACUGGAGUCCGGUAGGGGAGCGUGGAAUUCCUGGUGUAGCAGUGAAAUGCGCAGAUAUCAGGAGGAACACCAGCGGCGAAGGCGGCGCUCUGGGCCGGUACUGACACUGAGGAGCGAAAGCGUGGGUAGCAAACAGG
rnacentral:rRNA from 1 species